AGCUGCUUGUGAUACAUCAUUGUCCCUGACCUCGGAGUCCCUUUUCAUGUCGGGAUCCAAACUAAUAGAAGCAGAGGCCUCUGCGGCAUUUGAUUUGGUAGUGCUCUUACGAUUCCUUCUUGGUGUAACUCGGUUAAUAGCAUCUUGAAAGCGUAUUGCCCGCAACUGAUCAAACUGUGAUGUAACAGAGUGAAGCUUUUCACUUAAA
rnacentral:misc_RNA from 1 species